UGCCUCAUUCUACAUUAGAGUGGGCACUGUUGAUUGAUGUUCAGGAUUGGUUAGUGUGGCUAAAAUGGAGACACAGCUCAUGGUUCCAUCACAGUUAGAAUGCAGUACUGAAGCCUGUAACAUUU
ensembl:snoRNA